rfam:Haliaeetus albicilla contig87984, whole genome shotgun sequence.
ACAUAGGCUUUUUUAAAAGCCAUUUUCCUACAACAUUAUUUUUAAG